AGGAAGUCUCAUCUGGCCAAGACGUCUAGUAGAAGCAACCAAUCCAAAAGAGUUUGAGUACAUAGAAGGAAGAAUUCCUUCUGAAUCGGAUGCUUGGAUCAGAGGCAGGUGGAAACAGCCACCUACAAUAGAGGGAACAGAUCAAAAUCAGAGCUUCAGACGCAGAGGAGAGUGAUGAACCCUGCAGGCCAAAGAGUAUGAGGAAGGUUUGGUGGCCCAACCUGUUCAGACUCAGGUCAAAGGUCAUGCCUCUGCCACACAGUUUGGACAGACUGAAUUCAGUGAGGACCCCAUAAGCACUGCCAACACAUUCCAGCCCAGGUCAUGGACACCUCCAGGAGGCAAAAAAUAGGCUCAAUUUUGAAACCUCCUUUGCUGUUUUCAAGUAAAAUUGCAAUUUAAAUGAUUUAGUAGUUCUGCUGAUUUUUUUAACCGCAUCUCAACACAUAUUAAAAUAUUAUAGAAAUGUUCAGUACUGGUUUUCUGGAGACAGUUGAGAAACACUUCAAGUGAUGACUAGUUCUUUAAUAUUAAUACGUUUAAAGAAAUAGUUCACCCAAAAAAUGGAAAAAAAAAAUGCUAAAAAUUGACUCACUCACAGGUCAUCCAGGAUGUAGAGAAAUUUAGCAUUACAUAAUUUGUUCACCAAUGAGUCCUUUGCAGUUAAGAAUGAUGGGUGUUGUCAGAAUUCAAACAGAUGAUAAAAACAUGAUAAUACAACAUAAAAAAGUAUUGUGAAGUUAAAAGCGGUGCUUUGUAAUAAAUUCAUCGUUGACAUGUUUUUAACUUUGCUUCUGGCUAAAAUACAUGCCCUCUAUCCAUAAUAUUGCUUUCUCCAAUGGGAUAGUUGUCUUGUCUGAAUUUUUUGAACUGCCAAAACUGUUCUAAAAAAUAUGUCAAUUGAUUUUGAUGUGAGAGGACAACAGGGGAUGGACUUUUUCACCUGAGGAAGUUUUAUUACUGAUUAUGGACUUUAAAGCAAAAACUUUAAAGUUGUGUUGUUGUAAUGUUAACUUACAAACAUGUUGCUUUCACUUCACAAGAUGUUAAUUGAUGGACUGGAGAUUAUGGUGAUGUUUGAAAUCUCAUUCUGACGGCACCC